UGGAUUAGGGUUCCAGAGG
rnacentral:piRNA from 1 species